rnacentral:tRNA from 1 species
GGGGGUAGAGUUCAGUGGUAGAGCACUUGCUUAGCAUGCAUGACAUCCUGGGUUCAAUCCCCAGUAUCUCCA